AACAUUUAACUUGCCUGUUUGUGUCAGUCUCUCCGUCAGACUAACCUAACUGGAUUGCACGACAGAAGCAUGUUUUCAGCUCAUCAAAGGACUGGCCAAGGAGGUGAAGGAUAUCAGUAAGCAUGCUCAGAAGAGAGUGAUGAUCGAAGCUAAGUGAUGCAGUUACCGCUUCUAUAGCAGCAGGAGUCUCAUUCUGGAGUGGUACAGGGAGCUGAGCCAACUAACCCGGAUCCUCUCAAGCUCUGUCAGGAUGGAUGGGGAGCUUUGAUGCACAGCUAUUUUCAGGUCUCUCUGGAGAUGUUCGAUCGGGCUCUGGCUGGGCCACUCAAGGACAUUCAAAGACUUUUCACGAAGCCACUCCCGUGUUGCCUUGGCUGUGUGCAAUGGGUCGUUGUCCUGUUGGAAGGUGAACCUUCACCCCAGUCUGAUGUACUGAACGUUCUGGAGCAGGUUUUCAUCAAGGAUCUCUCUGUACUUCUUUGCCUCGAUCCUGACUAGUCUCCCAGUCUCUGCCGCUGAAAAACAUCCCCACAUCAUGAUGCUGCCACCACAAUGUUUCACCGUAGUGAUGGUGCCAGGUUUCCUCCAGAUGUAAUGCUUGGCAUUCAGGCCAAAGAGUUCAAUAUUGGUUUCAUCAGACCAGAGAAUCUUGUUUCUCAUGGUCUGAGAGCCCUUUGGGUUCCUUUUGGCAAACUCCAAGCAGGCUGUCGUGAGGAGUGGCUUCCGUCUGGCUACUCUAUCAUAAAGGCCUGAUUGGUGGAGUGCUGCAGAGAUGGUUGUGCUGCUGUGCGGUUUGUUGCUAACGUUUCUUUGCUACCUGCCAACUUUACAGUUUUUACCUUUUUUAAUUACCAUUUUAUAUUUUUCAUUCAAUUUUUUCCCCCCAGACGCUUUAUCUGGACAUGGUUCUACACGACCUCCACCAGCCGACACUAAGUAGUAACAUUAACAUCAUGCCUUCAUCAUUGCAAUCGCUGUACUCGUAAUAUACAGGAGAACGAGGAUAGCUGUGCUGCAAGCCCAGCUUCAGACGCAAUCGUUAGGCAAGGGUCAUUUUAAGUGUAGGAAGGGAUGAAACAGUGUCUGUACCACCAAUAAGUACAGAUACUAGUAUAAAUCCCCUCGCACAGUCCCCGCAGCCGGACAAUUUUCUCAUGGCUUCUGGAAGGAAAUGCUGUAGGAAUGCUAAACCGGUGUCGCUCAUUCAGCUGACAGAAACUUUCAACCGGUUCUCCCCAUUAAGCAACGAGUCAGUCAGUCUUCUCUGGUCUGUCCUCCAUGGAGUCUGAGAUGCCGAAGCCUCCCACCAUUAGCUCUGACAAAUUGAACAACCUAGUCAUUAGCGACUCCAUUACCCGUAGUAUUACACUUCAAAAUAACCAUCCAGCGAUCAUACACUGUUUACCAGGGGGCAGGGCUACUGUUUUAUAAAUAUUCAUACACAUAGCUCAUAUAUUAUACAGCGCUAAGCUAAUCUGCCUGACUCAAGUCAUUUCACGUACCCCUGCUAAAACAAGAACCAGGUCACUCUUCCUGCAAUAAAACUACCCCCCUCAGCUCUGUUGUUUCACAACCCCCUCUGCUCUCCUGUCUCACUGUCCCCUGACACACAAAUAUCUUGUUGGAUAAAACACACACAUCCCCCUCUACUGGUCGAGUGCUCAGAGCAGAGGACUCUGCUCCGCACCAAUGGGACUCCUGCUAUGGCCAGAGCAGAUCCGCCUCCAACCCUUCGGGACCAGUCAGAAGACCGACACGACAAGACUCUACCCACUUUAUUCUAUGUAUAAAAAUGAAUGUAAACCUUUGUAUAGGUCUCUUUUUCACCUGACUCCUUACCGAGUUAUAUGAACUAGAUCCGUGCACGUUAAACUGCGGGACAAAAUAUCUUUGACUUAAUAAACUGCCUUUUUGCUAUACUUGA